rnacentral:rRNA from 1 species
AGCCAAUGGCGCGUGCUAUACAUGCAAGUCGAGCGGACAGAUGGGAGCUUGCUCCCUGAUGUUAGCGGCGGACGGGUGAGUAACACGUGGGUAACCUGCCUGUAAGACUGGGAUAACUCCGGGAAACCGGGGCUAAUACCGGAUGGUUGUUUGAACCGCAUGGUUCAAACAUAAAAGGUGGCUUCGGCUACCACUUACAGAUGGACCCGCGGCGCAUUAGCUAGUUGGUGAGGUAACGGCUCACCAAGGCAACGAUGCGUAGCCGACCUGAGAGGGUGAUCGGCCACACUGGGACUGAGACACGGCCCAGACUCCUACGGGAGGCAGCAGUAGGGAAUCUUCCGCAAUGGACGAAAGUCUGACGGAGCAACGCCGCGUGAGUGAUGAAGGUUUUCGGAUCGUAAAGCUCUGUUGUUAGGGAAGAACAAGUACCGUUCGAAUAGGGCGGUACCUUGACGGUACCUAACCAGAAAGCCACGGCUAACUACGUGCCAGCAGCCGCGGUAAUACGUAGGUGGCAAGCGUUGUCCGGAAUUAUUGGGCGUAAAGGGCUCGCAGGCGGUUUCUUAAGUCUGAUGUGAAAGCCCCCGGCUCAACCGGGGAGGGUCAUUGGAAACUGGGGAACUUGAGUGCAGAAGAGGAGAGUGGAAUUCCACGUGUAGCGGUGAAAUGCGUAGAGAUGUGGAGGAACACCAGUGGCGAAGGCGACUCUCUGGUCUGUAACUGACGCUGAGGAGCGAAAGCGUGGGGAGCGAACAGGAUUAGAUACCCUGGUAGUCCACGCCGUAAACGAUGAGUGC